rnacentral:tRNA from 1 species
GACCCAGUGUGGUGCAGUGGUUUGAGUGUUCGACUAUGACUCUGGAGACCAGGGUUUGAUUCCCAGCUGAGCCA